UUGUGUGUGUUUGUCCUUCCUUUUUUGUUUUCUUCUUUUCUGUCUUGUUUGUUUUUUGUCUUUCUUUCUCUUGGUCCGUUGUUUCGGUUGUGCCUGUUCUUCGCUUUUUUUGUUCUGUUCUCUUCGUCCUCUGCCCUUGUUCGGUGUCUCCUCUUCUCCCGCCGCUGUCUUAUGUCUUCGUUCUUUGGGGUCUUGGCUUGUUCGCGGGUGCUCGUUCUGUCUUGUCGCCACCACCCGUGUGUUUUUUUUGCAACCUUUGUGUUUGCUCCGGUUGUUCUUUCUUUUCGUCUCUUCUUUUUGCUUUCAUGAGCUGUUGUCUUUCGUCGUUCAUAAUUGUUCUCUGUUUCCCGCCUAUAGUUUUUUUUAUAACUCAUUGGCGAUUUUAAUUUCCCGAAGUGACUCCUUAAGAACCCUUCCCUAGGGGAAACAUACGGAAGGAUCAUUAC
rnacentral:rRNA from 1 species